rnacentral:misc_RNA from 1 species
GCACAUCCUGUUGCUCUUAACUAAUUCUGUAGUUGUGUCAUUUCUGCUUGUCUGUAUCUUGUAAAAGGUCUUGACUACUUGCCAUGCUCAUUGAAAAUACUUGUUUUGUGCUUCUUGUUGCAUUGGUGUAUUUACUUACUCAUUAAGAAAUGUACAUGUACAUUUCCUUUUCAACCAGUGAAAUGGAAAUGGAGUGGCUUCUUAUGUAAU